GUCGCUCCGGCCAGCACCGGGCUUCUGAACGCCCAGCGCUCGUUCUUCCCAGCGGUGUCUGCGGAGAAGCUGAGGCGAGAAGGGGCUGACUGGGAGACGUACUGCCAUCCAGCCAGAGCCAGGAACGGAGGGCUGGAUGCUGCUGCUACCAAGAUCAAACUGUGUAUUACUAAUUUUACGAAUCAAGACCAUGCUCUGCCUUCAGGUAAGGAUUUGCAUGACCUUGGAAAGAAAAAUCAUCCCCCAAGACUGCCAAGGUAGAUUCCACCUCCGUGUUGGUGGACUGUCUGCACUGCCUCUGACAAUGAAGAGAACGACAAAGGACCUGCUUGGGUGCCACAGUUGGGAGCAAUUGUGGAUAAAGCUGCUGUAAACAUUCGUGCACAGAUGUUUCUGUGGGUGUGAAUUUUCAAGUCAUUUGGGUAGAUACCUAUGAAUGCAGUUGCUGGACUGUGUGACAGCUCCCCUCCCUUCUUCCCCUCAGAGGCUUUAAAGAUUAAGGUCAUGGACCGUUCUUACUCCUGGAACCUGCGAGAGAGGAAAAAACCCAUGGACCAUGGGAGGAGACAUCGAUCCGGCCGGCACUCAACGGGCCUAAGGAGGCUGAGGACGGAGGCGACCCCCUCCCUCUUAGCUCGGAACCCAAGGGCGGAGGAAGCAGGGGCCACACCGCCCGCGGGCACGCGGCCCGAUUGGCCAAUCGCCGCCAUGACGCCCUGCUCUGUUCUUUGAUUGGUCUUAGCGGUGACGCCCCCUCCCGAAUUCCUCGCUUGGAUUGGCCCAUUCUUUGUUCUGACCUGGACGGUGGCCAGAGGAGGACAAGAGACUCCCGUACGGAACGGAGGGAUGAUUUGGGUGACGCCUGAGACGCAGCUGCACAUCAAUAAGCAGCCCGGGCCUGGAGACGUGGCGGCGGCCUCUGCGGUUGCGGUCAUGCUGGUGGCGACUGAGAGGAACCGGUGGGAACGUGUCCCGAGCCGCCGCUGCCGCUGAGCUAUUAUCCACCGGAGAGAACUGCCACCAUGGACGAAUCCAGCUGUUUGUCUUCUUUGUGCCUGCAGCAGCCUCCUGGAAGAGCUGGAGAAACUUGCGCACUGGGAAGAUUUGGUACUAAAAUAAGUUGAUGGUAGUCAGCUUCGCCCGGGCUUUCAGCACUGCACAGCGGGCCCGUUGUUUCCCUGGCCACCUCAUACUUUCCAUUUUAUGCAACUGCUGUUUCAAAUCCUCUUCACUCUUUUCAAACCUCUAACAUCUCUUACAAGCCAUUCUCAGCAAAUGAUCUCAGUGUUAUUGAGAAAAUAGAAUACCUGAGCUUCUGAGCGUCCUGCCAGCAAAUCUGCGCACCCUCCUUCAUCUGCAUCCAUCCAACUUCCAUCAAAGUCUAGUCCCUUUGCCUGUGCUCUGGAUCCUUCCCCUCUCACCAUCUCAGGGAUCUCUGCCAUCAGUUAUCCCUCGUGUCACCUGCAUGGUUAACCACUCCCUCUUUACUAAAUCCUUCCCACCAGCGUUUAAGUAUGCUGUGGUCCCUCCCUUCUUUGGGGGACAGUUGUAAGUCCCCCCUCUUCCCCUACCUAACACUCUCUUUCUUCUCCCGUUUAUAAUGUUUUUAUAUCUCCCAUUUAUAAUUUUUUAAAAUUGCCUGCCCUGCAGUUUCUAUUUCUUUACUUCCCAUUCUCUUCUCACCCCACUCUUGUGCUUCUGUCCUCACCCCUCUACUCAAACUGUUCCUGCAAAAGUCGCCAGUAAAUUCCUUCUCCCUAAAUCCAAUGGACUGACUCUUGACUUCUUACCAAUAUUUAACACUGUAGACCUGUAUUGGGGCAAACUAGAGCAUGUGGACUAACUAGACUAAGUGUAGACCAGUAUUGGGGCAAACUAGAGCAAAUCCAGCUUCAGCAUGCUUUUAUAUGGCCUGUGAGUUAAGAAUGGGUUUUACAUUUUUAAAGAGUUAUAAAAGAAAAACAAAGACCAUAUGUGACAGAAACUAUAUAGCCUGGAAAGCCUAAAAUAUUUACUGUUGGCCCUUUACAGAAGAAGAUUGCCAGCCUCUUCCAGAGAUCACUCCACUCCCUCCUUUUAGAAAUAAGUUCUACUCUUGGUUCUCACAGCCCCUUAGAAAUUGUCAGACUGCACACCACAUGGACUUCUUGCCCUGCCUGUCAGGCCACCCAGAGUUUGAGGCUGGAAAUGAGCCUACACAUAUCUUUCAGCAUCACGAUGAUCAUUUCCCUUCUGAGGGCCUCAGCCAGAGAAGUUUCCUACCAGGCAGCUCUGGGUCUCAUCCCCAAGGAGAAAGCUGGAACCAGUGCUUUCAAAGUUCAGACAUGACACAAGAUUCAGGCUAUGCGUUUAUGGAAGAAAUACCACAUAAGCGAUGCUGUGUUCUCUGUGCAUUAUUUCAGGAGGCUGUGCAAGAUCCAAAAGAUCAUUCUGGCGCUUGAGAACUAUAUGGGAGCAGCUUUUCAUUCCUGCGUUGUGGAAUUGACAUUCAAAAUGAAAUGCAAAAAAUGCAGACGGACACAGCACGUACAGUUAUUGGUACUCCAGGGAAAAUAUUUGAUAUGUUAAAUAAGUAUAUCUUUGUUGUGUUGCUUUCUGCCUCAACGUCAACAGAUAUGUUGGAAGUGGUCAAAAAGUUCAUGAGAGAUCCAUUUCAAAUUGAGGUGGAGAAGGAAGAAUUGACCCUUGAAAGUGUCAAUAUUUUAUAAGAAUUUUGAAAGAGGGUGGUGACAGAAAGAAAGAGACGUUAUCAAGAGGGAGUUCAGGAAGAUUAGCCCUGAGCUAACAUCUGCCAAUCCUCCUCUUUUUGCUGAGGAAGACUGGCCCUGAGAAUUGGCAGCAGGAAUCAAUUUAGAAGGAAAGCUAUGUCCAUAAACAUUGAAGAAGACAGAGGAUUCUUCAUGACAUUGAGACUUUCUACAAUACUACAGUGGAGGAAAUGCCAAUGAAUGUGGCUGACCUUAUUUAAUUCCUGGAAUGAGAUAGUUUGAAUGCAGUGCUCGCUGUUGCUGAAUAGGCGAUCACAACGUGCAUUGUGCUUCUUUCUUUGGGAAUAUUUGAAUCUUGUCUCAAUGCUAAUAACGGAUCAGAAAUACAGAUUUUGAUAGCAAAGCGACUUCAGUCACGACUCACGGGAGGAGUCAUUGGCAUUAUCCUCUCUAGAAUUACACUGUUGCAUUGGGUAUGAAAAAUGGGGUUGUAAAUCUUUCUUAGAAAUGUAUUUCCUAGUUCUGUAAAAAUGGUUAUAUUGAGUGUUCUCUAUCAUUCAAUUAUAUACUUGUGGACUGAAAGAUAUAUGCUGUAUAAAAUCAGCCAAUUAGAUUAAACUAGUGUAUUUUCUCCUAUUGUGUUAGUCGUUAGACUGAACAGAAUGAACUUUAAAAUGAUUUUUUUAAGAAAAUAUUUAAACUUAUUUUAUUCAGUAUUUCGUUUUUAUUCAGUGAAGCAUUUCAUUAGUGGUAAGUGUGAAGUGGAGUCUUUUGCUAAGCACCAGCAGCAAGCAUAUCCUAGGGUUAAAUCCCAGAAAAACUGCCAUAUUGCAUAUUGAAUGUUCAAUAAAUUAAAAUAAUGUACAUUUUCUUUAAA